UACAGAGGGUGCGAGCGUUAAUCGGAAUUACUGGGCGUAAAGCGCGCGUAGGCGGCUUUGCAAGUCGGGCGUGAAAUCCCCAAGCUUAACUUGGGAACUGCAUUCGAGACUGCAUUGCUAGAGUAUGGGAGAGGGAAGUGGAAUUUCCGGUGUAGCGGUGAAAUGCGUAGAUAUCGGAAGGAACAUCAGUGGCGAAAGCGACUUCCUGGACCAAUACUGACGCUCAUGUGCGAAAGCGUGGGGAGCAAACAGG
rnacentral:rRNA from 1 species